AGGAGCUAUAUGAAGCCUACUGCCUACAGAGAAGACUCAGGGACGGGGCCAACAAGAUGGUGAAGGCUUACACUGCCUCUCCAGGCAGCAAGGAGGCCAGGGAGAGUUUAGCAGAAGCCAAUAAAGGAUACAAAGAGUACACAGAGAACAUGUGUGUGUUGGAGAGUGAGUUGGAGAACCAGCUGGGUGAGUUCCACAUCAAGAUGAAAGGUCUGGCUGGAUUUGCCAGGUUGUGUGCUGGUGACCAGUAUGAG